rnacentral:lncRNA from 1 species
GUGGUUCUUAACCGCAGUCUUCAUUUUUGUGGGUUUUCUGACCUUCCAACCACAGAUUGUCCAGCGUGGUGGGGUCACACAAGGACUGCUGUCCAGAGUUCGUGACGUAGUGCUCGUCACGAUCGCCCUCUUCUUCUUCACCUUAUUCUUCUUCUUCUUCAUUUCCCUGAAACCAUCGCGGAUUUUCAAGAAGAAGAAGCCCAACAGGAAGCCCUGCUUUCACUGUAAGCCGGUACUAAUUUUGCUGACCUUGGAAGGAUGGCAGGCUGAGUCAACCCACCUGGUGUUAUUUCACCACCUGGUGCUCAAAGUCAAGUGACGAGGAUCUUAAGCCAGCCACCUUAACCGUCAAGCCAAGUGGCAAACUCAAUGUUUUAUAUCCUAUAACAAUCUUACACUCACGUAACACGCUUUUUGUCUUUUCCAAAAUCAUACCUUGUUCUCCAACUGACAAACAUUCUCUUUGUUUCUGCAGUUUUCAAUGUGGAAGGAAAUAUGGACAGAAAAAAAAGGUCGAGGCACUUUCACAACGGUUGAGUGUGAAGGAUGACCAGUUCAACCAGCUUAACUUGGAAAACCAGGCACUUUCGGAAGAUCUCCGAAACGUUUCGAGCAAGUUGUCAGAAGUGCAACUUCAGCUCCAGAAACAGCAACAACAGCAUGAGUUCGAGCAAGAGAAGGUCUUGAAGAGCUUCCAACAAGACGAGUUGCUUUCACAAAGUUUGAGUGUAAAAGAUGAACAACUCACUGAGAUUACCGAGCAAAACAACUCUCUGAAGGAAGAUCUAAAAAACAUCAUGAACAAUUAUUCAGAGGUGCACCUUCAGCUCCAGAAACAGCAACAACAGCAUGAGUUCGAGCAAGAGAAGGUCUUGAAGAGCUUCCAACAAGUGGAGCUGCUUUCUCAGGAGAUGCAAGUGAAGGAGAAUGAAUACAAUGAGAUGAGUUUGGUACUUAACAUCCUUGUGGAGCAUGGCACACACUUGGAGAGUAAAUGUUCCGCAGCAGAACAGCAGCUGCAGGAACAGCAAGAAAAGCAGGAACAACAGAAUGUUGAACACCUAAAACAAGUAACGCUGAUGAAGAAGCACUUGCAGGACAAGAAGUGCUGGGAAGCAACGGUCGAUAAAAAUAACAAUUGCAUCAAAGCAAUAUACGAACUGCACAGAAGGUUGCAGCAAUUGGAGCAGCGACAACAGCAACCCCAGCACGAGCCACGUUCCCAGCUUCCUUUGGCUCAAGAGAAGAAACAGACGGAAACAGUUUCAUCAAAAGAACCAGCGUUGGCAUCACCAACAGCAAAACAAGGUAC